GCUAGACAAUUAUUUUUCAGUUGAAGGUUAAUUUAAUUUGAGGUUUGUUUAAGUUGUGAGGUUAUGUGCUUUAAUUCUCUUCAUCUUAUUUUCUAUUUUCUAUUAAUUUCUGAAUUCGAGGAACACCACCUCCAUUGUUGUUUUCUUGAGAAUUCAAGGGGUCCAUUGAAUCUCUUGGGAAGACAACAUAUUGCUAAUUAAUCUAAUUAAAU
rnacentral:lncRNA from 1 species